rnacentral:rRNA from 1 species
GAUGAACGCUGGCGGCGUGCUUAACACAUGCAAGUCGAACGGGAAUUAUUUUAUUGAAACUUCGGUCGAUUUAAUUUAAUUCUAGUGGCGGACGGGUGAGUAACGCGUGGGUAACCUGCCUUAUACAGGGGGAUAACAGUCAGAAAUGGCUGCUAAUACCGCAUAAGCGCACAGAGCUGCAUGGCUCAGUGUGAAAAACUCCGGUGGUAUAAGGUGGACCCGCGUUGGAUUAGCUGGUUGGUGGGGUAACGGCCCACCAAGGCGACGAUCCAUAGCCGGCCUGAGAGGGUGAACGGCCACAUUGGGACUGAGACACGGCCCAGACUCCUACGGGAGGCAGCAGUGGGGAAUAUUGCACAAUGGGGGAAACCCUGAUGCAGCGACGCCGCGUGAAGGAAGAAGUAUCUCGGUAUGUAAACUUCUAUCAGCAGGGAAGAUAGUGACGGUACCUGACUAAGAAGCCCCGGCUAACUACGUG